rnacentral:rRNA from 1 species
AACGAACGCUGGCGGCAUGCCUAACACAUGCAAGUCGAACGAGACCUUCAGGUCUAGUGGCGCACGGGUGCGUAACGCGGGGUAUCCUGCCCUUAGGUUCGGAAUAACUCCCCGAAUGGGGUGCUAAUAACGGAUAAUGUCUUCGGACCAAAGAUUUAUCGCCUUUGGAUGGGCCCGCGUGGGAUUCGCUAGUUGGUAGGGUAAAGGCCUACCAAGGCGACGCUCCAUAGCUGGUCUGAGAGGAUGAUCAGCCACACUGGGACUGAGACACGGCCCAGACUCCUACGGGUGGAAGCAGUGGGGAAUAUUGGAAGGUGGGCGACAGCCUGAUUCAGCACUGGCGAGUGAGUGAUGAAGGCCUUAGGGUUGUAAAGCGCCUUUAGCCGGGAGGAUAAUGACAGUACCGGGAGAAUAAGCUCCGGCUAACUUCGUG